CAUAGCCGCCCCCCAUCCCGCAGGCUCCCCCAGAGGAGAAGCGGGAGGAGGUGACUGACAGGCCCCCAUAGGUGCUGGGCGCCCGGCAGGAUCCUCCGGCCAGGACAGAGGAGAUGCGGCUGGAGCCACCACCAAUGCCACAGGAGCCCUUCAUGGAGCUGGAGGAGGUGAACUGGCGGCUGCAGGUGGUCAUGGUGCCAAGGAGGAGGUGAGUGAGAGAGUGAGUGAGCGAGCGAGCGAGUCGGCAGAGGGAAGAGAAAGGUGCUCAGGGCGGCUGAGAGGAUGCUGUGGCGGCUCAAUCCCCAGGAUC
rnacentral:lncRNA from 1 species